GACGAACGCUGGCGGCGUGCCUAAUACAUGCAAGUUGAGCGACGAAGAUGGGUGCUUGCACCUAUUUGAAGAGCAGCGCACGGGUGAGUAACGCGUGGGGAAUCUGCCUUUGAGCGGGGGACAACAUUUGGAAACGAAUGCUAAUACCGCAUAACAACUUUAAACAUAAGUUUUAAGUUUGAAAGAUGCAAUUGCAUCACUCAAAGAUGAUCCCGCAUUGUAUUAGCUAGUUGGUGAGGUAAAGGCUCACCAAGGCGAUGAUACAUAGCCGACCUGAAAGGGGGACCAGCCCCAUUGGGACGGAGACACGGCCCAAACUCCUACGGGCGGCAGCUGUAGGGAAUCUUCGGCAAUAGCCGACAGACUGACCGCGAAACGUCGCAAGAGAGCAGUAGGCGUCCGGACCGAAAACCUCUGUUGGUCGAGCAGAACGUUGGUGCGACUGGCAUGCCCAUAAGGUGACGGUAACUAGGCAGAAAGCUACGGCUAACUACGUG
rnacentral:rRNA from 1 species